GCCGGGCGUGGUGAUGGACGCCUGUAGUCCCAGCUACUUGGGAGGCUGAGACAGGAGAAUUGCUUGAACCCAGGCAGCAGAGGUUGCAGUGAGCCGAGAUCAUGCCACUGCACUCUGGCCUGGGCGACAAAGUAAGACUCUGUCUCAA
ensembl:misc_RNA Metazoa_SRP Metazoan signal recognition particle RNA